rnacentral:rRNA from 1 species
GACGAACGCUGGCGGCGUGCCUAAUACAUGCAAGUAGAACGCACAGUUUAUACCGUAGCUUGCUACACCAUAGACUGUGAGUUGCGAACGGGUGAGUAACGCGUAGGUAACCUGCCUGGUGGCGGGGGAUAACUAUUGGAAACGAUAGCUAAUACCGCAUAAUAUUAAUUAUUGCACGAUAAUUGAUUGAAAGAUGCAACUGCAUCACUACCAGAUGGACCUGCGUUGUAUUAGCUAGUAGGUGAGGUAACGGCUCACCUAGGCGACGAUACAUAGCCGACCUGAGAGGGUGAUCGGCCACACUGGGACUGAGACACGGCCCAGACUCCUACGGGAGGCAGCAGUAGGGAAUCUUCGGCAAUGGACGAAAGUCUGACCGAGCAACGCCGCGUGAGUGAAGAAGGUUUUCGGAUCGUAAAGCUCUGUUGUAAGAGAAGAACGGGUGUGAGAGUGGAAAGUUCACACUGUGGCGGUAUCUUACCAGAAAGGGACGGCUAACUACGUG